GAGUUUGAUCAUGGCUCAGAUUGAACGCUGGCGGCAUGCCUUACACAUGCAAGUCGAACGGCAGCAUGAUCUAGCUUGCUAGAUUGAUGGCGAGUGGCGAACGGGUGAGUAAUACAUCGGAACGUGCCCUGUAGUGGGGGAGUAACUAGUCGAAAGAUUAGCUAAUACCGCAUACGACCUGAGGGUGAAAGUGGGGGACCGCAAGGCCUCAUGCUAUAGGAGCGGCCGAUGUCUGAUUAGCUAGUUGGUGGGGUAAGGGCCCGACCAACGGCGACGAUCAGUAGCUGGUCUGAGAGGACGAUCAGCCACACUGGGACUGAGACACGGCCCAGACUCCUACGGGAGGCGAGCAGUGGGGAAUUUUGGACAAUGGGCGAAA
rnacentral:rRNA from 1 species